rnacentral:rRNA from 1 species
CGAGGGGCAGCAUAUAGAUUGCUUGCAAUUUAUGAUGGCGACCGGCGCACGGUGAGUAACGCGUAUCCACUACCCAUACUAGGGAUAACCAGCGAAAGUUGGCCUAAUGCCCUAUGUAGUCGUUUGAUCGCCUGAGAUUUCGACGAAAGAUUUAUCGGUAUUGGAUGGGGGAUGCGUCUGAUUAGCUUGUUUGGCGGGUAAAGGCCCACCCAAGGCAACGAUCAGUAGGGGUUCUGAGAGGAAGGUCCCCCACAUUGGAACUGAGACACGGUCCAAACUCCUACGGGAGGCAGCAGUGAGGAAUAUUGGUCAAUGGGCGAGAGCCUGAACCAGCCAAGUAGCGUGCAGGAUGACGGCCCUAUGGGUUGUAAACUGCUUUUAUAUGGGAAUAAAGUGAGGGGACGUGUCCCUUAUUGCAUGUACCAUACGAAUAAGGACCGGCUAAUUCCGUGCCAGCAGCCGCGGUAAU